AAGCUAAAUACCGGCCAGAGACCGAUAGCGCACAAGUAGAGUGAUCGAAAGAUGAAAAGCACUUUGAAAAGAGAGUUAAAAAGUACGUGAAAUUGUUGAAAGGGAAGCGUUUAUGACCAGACUUGGGCUUGGUUAAUCAUCCAGGGUUCUCCC
rnacentral:rRNA from 1 species